rnacentral:rRNA from 1 species
UACGAAGGGUGCAAGCGUUACUCGGAAUUACUGGGCGUAAAGCGUGCGUAGGUGGUUCGUUAAGUCUGAUGUGAAAGCCCUGGGCUCAACCUGGGAAUGGCAUUGGAAACUGGUGACCUAGAGUGCGGUAGAGGGUAGUGGAAUUCCCGGUGUAGCAGUGAAAUGCGUAGAGAUCGGGAGGAACAUCCGUGGCGAAGGCGACUACCUGGACCAGCACUGACACUGAGGCACGAAAGCGUGGGGAGCAAACAGG